GGCAAAUUUGGGGACCAAAUUUCUUUAUGGGGGGGAGAGUUGUAGCGCCCGGAAAGGGGCCGAAAAAAAAAAGCCACGUCGGCAGCCACGUCAGCAGGCCCGGUCAGCAGUCCCGGCCAACCGGGACCUGCCACGUGGCAAGACCACGUUGUUCUAAAAAGGGCCACGUUGGCGAUCCGUGUAGGCGCGAUCGGACGGCCCAGAUCAAGCGUGCGAUCGGACGGCCCAGAUUUAAACGCACGGACGACCCAGAUUUAAUCAAAAACGGACGGCCCAGAUUAAAACAAAAUGGACGGCUGAGAUCAAAAGGCAAAGGGUUAUAAAU
rnacentral:lncRNA from 1 species